ensembl:lncRNA
CCAUCACAACCCUGUGACUCUCAGAUCAAUUCAGUGUCUUUAAAUGAAUUCUCUGAGAGACCCUUACACAUUGCAACUGAGAUCCUUUAUAGCAAAGACACACAUAGCCAGACAGCAUUGGCGUAAUUUAUCGUUCAGCUUUGUCUCCUAAACUAUGUUCUUUUCUCAAACUCAGAACCAUAAACCAAAUCCACAUAUAACAGGCAUAUAUCAAAUCCAUCCUAUCUUGACAAGGUCACAGAGACACAUUGACUGGCACACCGACAUUGUGGAGCCAAGAGAUACACGCUUGACCUCUCCCCUCUCUCCGGCCCAAAUAACUUAGUCUUGACAGAGAACAGAUACUGCAACCCCACCACGGUAUUAUACAAAAAUAACAUUCUGAUGAGAAGUAACUUACAAACAUAUGAUGAAUGUAAAACAUCUUACCUAUGUUACCAACUAAUUCUGAUUAUUCCCCAACAAUAGCAACUAGCUGGGUUUCACUGACAGCAAUCACAACUCUACUGCUUUCUUGUCAAGGUGAACUCUACACAGUCUCUUACGGUAAGGUAAUGCAGGCUUAUCAAGGUGAACUUUACACAGUCUCUUACGGUAAGGUAAUGCAGGGUUAUCAAGGUGAAGUCUACACAGUCUCUUACGGUAAGGUAAUGCAGGGUUAUCAAGGUGAAGUCUACACAGUCUCUUACGGUAAGGUAAUGCAGGGUUAUCAAGGUGAAGUCUAC